CCCUAGUAACGGCGAGUGAAGCGGGAAGAGCUCAAAUUUGAAAUCUGGCGGUCUAGGCCGUCCGAGUUGUAAUCUAGAGAGGUGUUUUCCGUGCCGGACCGUGUACAAGUCCCUUGGAACAGGGCGUCAUAGAGGGUGAGAAUCCCGUCCAUGACACGGACUAUCGGUGCUCUGUGAUACACCUUCAAAGAGUCGAGUUGUUUGGGAAUGCAGCUCAAAAUGGGUGGUAAAUUCCAUCUAAAGCUAAAUACAGGCGAGAGACCGAUAGCGAACAAGUACCGUGAGGGAAAGAUGAAAAGAACUUUGGAAAGAGAGUUAAACAGUACGUGAAAUUGUUGAAAGGGAAACGCUUGAAGUCAGUCGCGUCUGCCAGGACUCAGCCUUGCUUCUGCAUGGUGCAUUUCCUGGUGGAUGGGCCAGCAUCGAUUUUGGUCGCCGGACAAGGGCGGGAGGAAUGUGGCAGCUUGCUGUGUUAUAGCCUCCCGUCGUACACGGUGGUUGGGAUCGAGGACUGCAGCACGCCUUUGGUCGGGGUUCGCCCACGCCACGUGCUUAGGAUGCUGGCGUAAUGGCUUUAAACGACCCGUCUUGAAACACGGACCAAGGAGUCUAACAUGCCUGCGAGUGUUUGGGCGUUAAACCCAGGCGCGUAAUGAAAGUGAAAAGUUGGGACUCUUUAGUGAGGCACCGACGCCCGAUCCUGACGUUCUCUGACGGAUUUGAGGUAGAGCAUGUAUGUUGGGACCCGAAAGAUGGUGAACUAUGCCUGAAUAGGGUGAAGCCAGAGGAAACUCUGGUGGAGGCUCGUAGCGAUUCUGACGUGCAAAUCGAUCGUCAAAUUUGGGUAUAGGGGCGAAAGACUAAUCGAACCAUCUAGUAGCUGG
rnacentral:rRNA from 1 species